CAUCUAUCGCCUAAGUGAUGUGACUCUUUUUCUGCCUGCAGCCUGCACAUAGAGAAGAUUGUGACAUAUAGCUCUGCCCAGUAACCAGGAGACAUGCCCAAAAAAGGGAUUGUGGCAUAUCUCUGAGCCCAGCACCCAAAUGUUGUGACUCUCCUGCCUGAGCUGUGCCUAGAGAAAAUAUUAUAAUAUGUCACCGGACCCUGCAUGCAAGUGAUCCAAUUCUCCAGUCUGGGCCUUGCCCAUAGAGGAGAUUGAGACAUAUUCCAGGUGAAGAAUUCAGGUGGAUGGUGACUCUAAGACCAGGAUUCAACACACCUAGAAGGCUUUGACUCUGAUACCAGUCACAGAAGGCUCUGUGACUCUUCUAUUUUCUCUAGGUCAUGCAAAUGGAGGCGGAUUUUGACAUAUCAUAAAGCCAACAUAAUACACAGUCUGCAGGUGGAAUUGGGACUCUCAUGCAUGGAUCCAGUUCAUCAUUGAUACUGUGACUCAUGUACUUGGAUGCAACUCACAGGAGGUGUUGACGCUUUUUACCUGAAGCUGGGACAUGUGUGGAAUUGUGAAUCCUAGCCCUAGAUCUUCCCACAGGUCAUGCAAAUGGAGGGGGAUUGUUACAUAUCAUAGGGCCAACACAAAAAUAAUGUAAAACUCCUGCCUGAGCCAUGCCCAUAGAAGGCAUUGUGACAUAUCACCCGUCACAGCACUCAGGUGGGAUUUUGACAUAUAACUGCACCCAGCACACAGGUGAAGUAUCUCGUAUGCUCAUCCUGCCAAAAGUUAUGAGUGUCACCCUCACACAUGGACAGAGACCUCUGGUUA
rnacentral:lncRNA from 1 species